GUUGGGAGAGCGUUAGACUGAAGAUCUAAAGGUCCCUGGUUCGAUCCCGGGUCACGGCA
rnacentral:tRNA from 1 species